rnacentral:rRNA from 1 species
GAAUAUUGGACAAUGGGCGCAAGCCUGAUCCAGCCAUGCCGCGUGAGUGAUGAAGGCCUUAGGGUUGUAAAGCUCUUUCAGUAGGGAAGAUAAUGACGGUACCUACAGAAGAAGCCCCGGCUAACUUCGUGCCAGCAGCCGCGGUAAUACGAAGGGGGCUAGCGUUGUUCGGAUUUACUGGGCGUAAAGCGCACGUAGGCGGAUUGGUCAGUUAGAGGUGAAAUCCCAGAGCUCAACUCUGGAACUGCCUUUAAUACUGCCAGUCUCGAGUCCGGGAGAGGUGAGUGGAACUCCUAGUGUAGAGGUGGAAUUCGUAGAUAUUAGGAAGAACACCAGUGGCGAAGGCGGCUCACUGGUCCGGUACUGACGCUGAGGUGCGAAAGCGUGGGGAGCAAACA